AGUCGUAACAAGGUCUCCGUUGGUGAACCAGCGGAGGGAUCAUUACCGAGUUGCAAAACUCCCAAACCCACGCGUACCUACCUACACGUUGCUUCGGCGGUGCCGCCGCGGGGGGUGCCCAGCUGCUGGGCCCCCCCGGGGCGCCCGCCGGAGGCCACUAAAACUCUUCUGUAUCUCGCGUACCAUCUGAGCGAAUGGCGAAUAAUAAAAACUUUCAACAACGGAUCUCUUGGUUCUGGCAUCGAUGAAGAACGCGGCGAAAUGCGAUACGUAAUGUGAAUUGCAGAAUUCAGUGAAUCAUCGAAUCUUUGAACGCACAUUGCGCCCGCCAGCAUUCUGGCGGGCAUGCCUGUUCGAGCGUCAUUUCAACCCUCAGGCCCUGCCUGGCGUUGGGGCGCCGCGGCGGCGAGAGCCCCGCGGGCCCUGAAAUACAGUGGCGAGCCCGCCUGGACUCCGAGCGUAGUAGCAACACUCGCUCAGGGCGUCCCGGCGCGCGUCGGCCGUAAAACACCCCAACUCACCAAAGGUUGACCUCGGAUCAGGUAGGAAUACCCGCUGAACCUAAGCAUAUCA
rnacentral:misc_RNA from 1 species